rnacentral:rRNA from 1 species
AUUGAACGCUGGCGGCAUGCUUUACACAUGCAAGUCGAACGGCAGCACGGGGGCAACCCUGGUGGCGAGUGGCGAACGGGUGAGUAAUGCAUCGGAACGUAUCCUUAAGUGGGGGAUAACGCAUCGAAAGAUGCGCUAAUACCGCAUAAUCUCUGAGGAGAAAAGCAGGGGAUCGCAAGACCUUGCGCUUUUGGAGCGGCCGAUGUCUGAUUAGCUAGNGGUGAGGUAAAGGCUUACCAAGGCUUCGAUCAGUAGCUGGUCUGAGAGGACGACCAGCCACACUGGGACUGAGACACGGCCCAGACUCCUACGGGAGGCAGCAGUGGGAAUUUUGGACAAGUGGGGAAACCCUGAUCCAGCCAUGCCGCGUGAGUGAAGAAGG